GACGAACGCUGGCGGCGUGCUUAACACAUGCAAGUCGAACGGAAAGGCCCUGCUUGCAGGGUACUCGAGUGGCGAACGGGUGAGUAACACGUGGGUGAUCUGCCCUGCACUUCGGGAUAAGCUUGGGAAACUGGGUCUAAUACCGGAUAGGACCGCACUUUAGUGUGUGUGGUGGAAAGUUUUUUCGGUGUAGGAUGAGCUCGCGGCCUAUCAGCUUGUUGGUGGGGUAAUGGCCUACCAAGGCGGCGACGGGUAGCCGGCCUGAGAGGGUGUACGGCCACAUUGGGACUGAGAUACGGACCAGACUCCUACGGGAGGCAGCAGUGGGGAAUAUUGCACAAUGGGCGCAAGCCUGAUGCAGCGACGCCGCGUGGGGGAUGAAGGCCUUCGGGUUGUAAACUCCUUUCGCUAGGGACGAAGCUUUGUUGUGACGGUACCUAGAUAAGAAGCACCGGCUAACUACGUG
rnacentral:rRNA from 1 species